AAGUUCUGAUCCAGAGUACCACGAGACACGUGAAACCUUGUGGGAAGCAGGGAGGACCACCUCCCAAGGCUAAAUACUACCUGAUGACCGAUAGUGAAGCAGUACCGUGAGGGAAAGGUGAAAAGAACCCCGGGAGGGGAGUGAAAUAGAACCUGAAACCGUGUGCCUACAACCGGUCAAAGCCCCUUAUGAGGGUGAUGACGUGCUUUUUGUAGAACGAGCCAACGAGUUACGGUAUGUAGCAAGGUUAAGUACUUAAGGUACGGAGCCGAAGGGAAACCGAGUCUUAAUAGGGCGACUAGUUGCAUGCCGUAGACCCGAAACCGGGUGUUGAAAAAGCAUGGGAUGAGCUGUGGAUAGCGGAGAAAUUCCAAUCGAACUCGGAGAUAGCUGGUUCUCCUCGAAAUAGCUUUAGGGCUAGCGUCGGAUAUGAGUAGUGGAGGUAGAGCACUGAAUGGGCUAGGGGGCAUAGCGCUUACCGAACCUUAUCAAACUCCGAAUGCCACAUACUAUUAGUCCGGCAGUCAGACUGCGAAAGAUAAGUUCCGUAGUCAAAAGGGAAACAGCCCAGAUCGUCAGCUAAGGUCCCAAAGUGUAAGUUAAGUGGAAAAGGAUGUGGGAUUUCUAAGACAACUAGGAUGUUGGCUUAGAAGCAGCCACUCAUUAAAAGAGUGCGUAAUAGCUCACUAGUCGAGAGAUCCUGCGCCGAAGAUGUCCGGGGCUCAAACUUACCACCGAAGCUACGGGUUCACACUUAUGUGUGAGCGGUAGAGGAGCGUCGUAAUCGGGCUGAAGUCGUACCGUAAGGAGCGGUGGACUGAUUACGAGUGAGAAUGUUGGCAUUAGUAGCGAGAUGUGGGUGAGAAUCCCACAGGCCGAAUAUCUAAGGUUUCCUCAGGAAGGUUCGUCCGCUGAGGGUUAGUCGGGACCUAAGCCGAGGCCGAAAGGCGUAGGCGAUGGACAAUCGGUUGAUAUUCCGAUACCACUACUGAUCGUUAUUAUCGAUGGUGUGACGGAGAAGGAUAGAGUGUGCUAGCUAUUGGAUGCUAGUCUAAGCGUUUAGGGAGUUAGGAAAGGCAAAUCCGUCCUAACAAUUCUGAGGCGUGAUGGGGAAGGUUCUACGGAACCGAAGUACUUGAUUCCAUGCUUCCAAGAAAAGCAUCUAGAGAGAGAUGUAGUGCCCGUACCGCAAACCGACACAGGUAGAUGAGGAGAGAAUCCUAAGGCCGGCGGAAGAAUCACAGUUAAGGAACUAGGCAAAUUGACCCCGUAACUUAGGGAGAAGGGGUGCCUGUGAGAGCAGGCCGCAGAGAAUAGGCCCAAGCAACUGUUUAGCAAAAACACAGGUCUCUGCUAAAGCGAAAGCUGAUGUAUAGGGGCUGACGCCUGCCCGGUGCUGGAAGG
rnacentral:rRNA from 1 species